rnacentral:rRNA from 1 species
CCUACGGGAGGCAGCAGUGGGGAAUUUUGGACAAUGGGCGCAAGCCUGAUCCAGCAAUGCCGCGUGUGUGAUGAAGGCCUUCGGGUUGUAAAGCACUUUUAGUGGGAACGAAACGGUCCGGGCUAAUACCCUGGACUACUGACGGUACCCGCAGAAUAAGCACCGGCUAACUACGUGCCAGCAGCCGCGGUAAUACGUAGGGUGCAAGCGUUAAUCGGAAUUACUGGGCGUAAAGCGUGCGCAGGCGGUUUUGUAAGACCGAUGUGAAAUCCCCGGGCUUAACCUGGGAACUGCAUUGGUGACUGCAAGGCUUGAGUGUGUCAGAGGGAGGUGGAAUUCCGCGUGUAGCAGUGAAAUGCGUAGAUAUGCGGAGGAACACCGAUGGCGAAGGCAGCCUCCUGGGAUAACACUGACGCUCAUGCACGAAAGCGUGGGGAGCAAACAGGAUUAGAUACCCUGGUAGUCCACGCCCUAAACGAUGUCUACUAGUUGUCGGGGAUUAAUUUCCUUGGUAACGCAGCUACGACGGAGUAGACCGCCGUGGAGGUACGGUCGCGAGAUAACUACGAAGAAGUAGACGGCGUGAGACGUGCCGACGGACGACGACGAGGGAGGUUAGG